CACGUAGGGCGCAAGCGUUGUCCGGAAUUAUUGGGCGUAAAGAGCUCGUAGGCGGUCUGUUGCGUCCGCUGUGAAAACUCGGGGCUUAACCCCGAGCCUGCAGUGGAUACGGGCAGACUAGAGGUAGGUAGGGGAGAAUGGAAUUCCCGGUGUAGCGGUGAAAUGCGCAGAUAUCGGGAGGAACACCGGUGGCGAAGGCGGGACUCUGGGCCGAUACUGACGCUGAGGAGCGAAAGCUAGGGUAGCAAACGGGG
rnacentral:rRNA from 1 species